UCAUCUGUCAGGAGAAACAAAGAAUAGACCACUUUACUUGAAGUUUCAAGAGAGAGAGAACAGUGAAAAAUCUGGAUCACAAUGACAAAUAAUACAACAUAUACAAACGUUAAAUAUAAACACUAUGAACCUCGUUACUAAGCUGAUUCAGACCUACCCCCCCCCCCCCAGAGAGAGGUGAUUUUGGAACAUCCUGUCCCAGAGAACCAUAAAAAGACACAGUUAUCUCUCUUCUAUAGCAAAGACUAGGUACCCUUAAUCUAUACAUUUGUCCUUUUUUUUCAAAGGCAUGAUUUCAGGCUCUCUCAUGUUGGAUGGUCAUUAAUUCUCAGGAGUGUUCUUACAACUGGGUAAAAGUAUUAUUUCUCUUCAUUUAACUCACCCCACCACGCCCAUACCCCAUCCCCUCAAGCAGGCCCUUUCAUUUUCGUUUGUUAAACACUUGAAAAGCCCACAUUCAUCCAAUCCACAACCCCCUGAUUUUUCAGGUCUGUGUUCAAAGCAUGCCAUAUGGUUCUUUAAAUCCAUGUAAGGAUCAGCACGUCUGCCGUGUGUGUAUUUUUUGAGAUUUGGAGAACAGAAUUGGACAUCCGUUAUUCCAGAUGUGGAUGCACCAUGGUUUAUAAGAGGAUUAAAUAUAUUUUCAGUUUUAUUUUUCAUUCCUCUCCUACAUGAUGCCAACAUUUUGCAAGACUUGUGAUCAAAGUGCAAGAACAUCUUCUGGAAAGCCAACUGUUCCUGCUUUCAUUCUUUCAGAUAGUAGUGGAGAGUUCACAGUCCACUGUUCUACACAUUUACUUCAUUUCCUUCUAAAGAUGUAACACGCCUUUGCUUUCUCUGUGCUCACUUACACACUCUAUGAUAUUCCCCAAAGAGCUGUGUGCAGCGCAUCCUAUUCCCAUUGUCGCUCUGGGUGACUGGGGGAGAGCCUGAGAAAGGGCCUUGCAGGCACUGGAAGGGCCCCGCCCUCAACUCUGAGGGAGGUGAGGCCACGGCAAGGCUUUCAGAAGGAGCAAGACGACGGGAUGUAGGUUUUUCCAGGAAUCUAAAGUGGUCAAAAGUGUCACAAGAUACUGAAAAGACAACUAUGAAACUUUUUUUUACCUGCUUGGCCAAACACAUAGCAAACUGAACUGAUCAAUCCAAUCCAGAAAAUCAGUUGUAAAUUCAUCUGAAAUAUAAAAUGUACCAUGUUAUAUUAAGGAAAAACAACAUAUAAAGCCUAAUCAUUGCCACGCACCUGAUCGUCCGCUAAUUUAUAAGUGUAAAGGCAUCUUCCUGCCCAGCCCUUCUCCAUGCUCAACAUCCACCUCUCCCCCCAGCACCUCACCUUCCGCUCCAGAUUCCCAGAAUCCACUCUUACUUUUCUCCACACCAAUUAUACAUUAAUAUUUAAUGAACAGUGCUCAAAACAAAAAGUGUCAAGUAUUCCUACACCUAAAAGCUAUUAAGUCUUUGUCCCAUGGAAUCUCUAUUACCUCCUAUGACUCCGAGGGGUCCAAACAGGCAUAUCCCUAUGCCUCAGUUACCUCAACACUGAGUGUUAGUUUGAGUGAACCUGUAAAAAUCCUGACCAUGUCAUCCCCUUGCUUACAACUUUUCAAUCGUUUUUAUUUCUCCUAAGGCUAAGACCAACAUCCUGCACAAGGCCCCAGCUCAAUUUUUGAGUUUGAUGUCCUGUAACUAUUUCUUAAGAAAAUCAACUUCUGUGCAUGGAAUUAGUAAAAUAUUCAGCUUAAUUUCCUACAAUUUCUAGAUCUACAAACUACACAAAAGUGGGGGAGAGGGACAUAAGAAGACCUGAAAGAGGCUUAAGUGUCCUUUGGAAUCUCUAAAGAAAAAUGAAGUAAGAGUCUGUAUACCAAGCAGGAUACCUCACACUCCAACCAUUAGGUAUGUAACUGCUUUCUGUGAAUCAAAGUUUUCACAACAUCAAUCUAUACCUUACCAGAGCUGGUCAAAGACGGCUAUAGCCACAGGUCGCUGACCCUAUCCCUUAACUACUUUUACUGCUCUUGGACUAGCAGCCAGUCUGACUGAUAAUUAUGCAUGAACACCUGCCCCUUCCACAGGAAUGCAAAAAAACCAAAGGCAAAUAUAACACCCCCCCACCAAGCAAAGUUUAGCUUUACUACUUAGCAAAGAAAUAUAAAUUAAAGCAAUGUAAGGUAAACCAGCAAGCAGGAAAAUAAAAAGUUUUUUAACCCAACAAAACAACAGAACAAAGACUUACCGCAGAUGGCUAAGAGAGACCAGAGAUGGCUGUAAACUGGUAUAACUUGGGGGAAAAUAAUUUAACAAUCUAUAUCAAAAAGCAUUAAAACUGUUUCUACCCUCUGACUUAGUAAACGAGCUACUAGGAAUUCAUCCUAAUAAUUUAAAAUAUAAAAAGUGAUACACAUGCACAUACACUUUCAGUAUAGACUCUAGCAUGUUUAUAAGACAAAAGUGCCAACGUCCUCUAGAAUGAUGGGGAAAGGGCUAACCGUGUCAACUUGAUGGAGUACUAGAGUCAAAAGAAUAAAAUGUAGUAACAUCAAAAGGUUUACAGAAUAACUUUUGGAUGCAAAGAACACAUUAAGAUGACAGGUAUGUAAAAAUAACAGUAUAUAAAUGUAUAAAGUAACCAAAGAAUCCUGGAGAUGACAGAGUUAUAAGCAUAAUAUAAAGACAAUGGGUUCAUUUGUUUUUAAAUUGUUGUAGCGUUUUCUUCUUUUCACUUUCUUAGUAAAAACAAUCACGGCAGGGUACUGUGUGGAAUUUUUUUCUUUCUUGGUGUACUUCCUUUAAUAAGAAAAAAAAAUUUCUUUCAAAACCCCUCAUUUUCAAGGGCUAUGUUCCAGGACACAGUCCCACAGCUCCAGGAAAAUGCUUUGAAGUUAUGCUCUGAGUACCCCUGGGAUACUGGGUUUCCUCUGUCAGAUGCUGCUCCCAUUUUCCGGUUUCCCAAAGAAAAGCAGUAUGAAUAACUUGCACAGUCAUCCACUUUGCAACCGUGCUCAGAGCAGCCAGUCCUGUUAUGCCACGGUUCUGCUUACGUUAUUACUUGUGACUGCAUCCAAAAGCCCAACAAAAGCCAGGUCACUGAAGUGUGAAAUGCCUGACAGUUUACCUUUUAAGGCCUGACUAAAAGGUUCAAUGUGUAAAAAAUCCACGCAGACUCUAAUUCUGAACAAUUCAAAUAAUGUUAUCAAUUCCAAAGCUAUGAUUAAAAGGACCUGGAACAGCAAGACGCCCGAAGAAAUGCAUGACUGUGAUGAAUGGAACAUCUGGGCAGUUUCUACACAAAGAGAACAGAACAGAUAUUUGGUCCAUAUAUGGACUCUGACACGUGUGUCUUCAGGAUUCAACUCAGGUCACCUUAAGGACCACUAGACUACCUUGGGAAACCUUUAAAAUGUUACACAACUCAGAGAAGCACCACUAAGAUAAAGUUAUUUGGUAGCAGAAAAAGUUUCCUAACAUUCUUAGGUCCCGUAGCUUUAAAAUACUACUUUAACACUAUUUUUCUUUUCCUUCUAUAAACCUUGAUGCGCCCAAGACCAGCCUUCUGAGGAAUCAGGCAGCACACAGCGGGGAGGGCAGCCCGAGGCCAGCAGCAGCCCCGCCAGGGCAGCGGCCAGGCCUGCAAAGGCCAGGCUUUCUCCCCGGGAAGCAGAGAAGCCCUAGGAGACGGAAGACGGCGGCAGUUAGGGAUAAAGGAAAGCCACGAGGCUGGCCGGGCAGAGACAAGAGCAGCGAGGAGGGCCCUGAGGAGAGCAGGCAGCAGAGAGGCGGUGGGGCGAGGGGGCAGGGAGGAAGGACGGCACCCAAGAGCUCCGGAGACUUCCAGAGGCCCUGAGGCAGCACCGGUCAGUGUGUGGUCCCGGGAGAACGCCAGCCCUGAAAACCCCUAUCCUGGGAGGUGGGGCCUACACCCCAGGUGACUCUCAGGCUGAGAAAGGUGCCCCGUGGAGUCUCCCCCCGGGAGCACUCCACACAGAACAGCUCCUGAGGAGAGGCCACCAGGGAGAGAUGCCUUCAGGUCCUGUCCUCAUCUUAACUUUCACCGUCUUCAUGAUCAAAGCUCUAGAAAUAGUUGUCUACCUGGGUCUCUGUCUCCCUCCUCCACCUGUGUAACUGGGUAUCCGCAUGUGAAACUGCUCUUGAAAAAGAAAACUUCCCAGGCCUAUCCUACUGUCUGCAUCCAUCCAUCCAUUCAUUCAUUCAAAACUUUAGUGCCUGCCUACAAAACGUACCUGGGGACAUACAUCAGUUUACCACCCAAAGAACUUACACAGCAACACUGACUACACCUCACUGUUCUUUCUUAACAUGCUCUAUUCCCAUGAACUUUACUGGCUUCUCCCUUACCUCUGGAUGUGCUUCCUCUGCCAACCCUGUCAGGCUCUGUGCCCUAUUGGAGAUACAAAGAUCACUGUCUCAAGGAAUUUUCAGUUCGAAGACAAAAAAUACAAAUAAUUACAAUGUGAUAUGCUGGUUUCUAUAAUGAAGAUAAGGACAAAGUGCACUGAGGAUGCCAAAAUCUGCCGGGGCAAGUUCAGAAGCUUCAGGGAGGUUCAAACCGCAGCCUCAUAGGAAACGGGUAGGCACCGGAGAGAAACACCCCAGGCAAAAGGUCUGCACAAGCAAGGCCACGGAGUCCUGAGAAGAACUGUAAUAACUUCUUUCCAAUCUUAUUACUAAACAUACACGUUUGGGUGACUUCUCUCUCUCCCCGCAAACUGGAAUUGAUUUGCUCUAGCUUUACAGAAAAAAGACUACAGAAAAAAAUGUAUUUAUAUGUUAUUUGCAGUUAAAUCUGGUCAGUGGGAUGAGUGAUUAUUUUAUCCCUGUAAUUUUCUACAGUAAGUAUAAAUUAUGUUAAAAUCUUAAAAUAUCAUAAAGGCCAAAAAGAAUCUUAAAGUACUUAGGUAUUUCUGAGACUUAAAUUAUAAGCUGGAAAUAACAGAAACCGAGACCAGCAAGGCAGGAGGUUACAGUCAGGUUACAGAGAGCCUUAAAUGCCAUUCAUGCUGAGAGUUUAGAUUCUAUUCUACAUGUAGCAAGGAAGCUGGAAAAAAAUGGCACAGGGUAGUAACAUGACAACAUGUAAGUGGCAGAAAAUCAGCAGGGUAGGGGAUGAAUGGCAAGACAGGAGCUACUGGACAGGUACAAAAUUUACUGCUGAGGUUUCAGAGUAACAAUGGACAAGAAGACAAAUCAGUGAUUAGGAGGGAUCUGAGGGUUGCUUAGAUAAGGAAGAUGGUUGCUUAGAUAAGGCAGGGUGAGAGAAGAAGGGAAUCAUCACUUUCAAAUGAAGAAGACAGAAGGAGAACGGAGUUAGGGGAGAAAGUACUGAUUUUGAUUUAGAAAUGUCGAAUGUGAAAGGCCUUUGUGAAAUCUAGGAAAGAUACAAACUGGGAAAUUAAGACCUAUGGGCCUAGCUUUCAGGAAUUCAGGGUUAGAGAUACAUACCCAAGAGUUGUGGAUGGCAAUGAAAUUAUGAAGAUGGUUGAGAUUGUGAAGAAAAGAAUACUAAGGAGAGAGGAGAGCUGCAGGCAGACACGAAGAGAGUGAUGGAGCCAGGGCCCCCUGGAGCAAAGAGGCGGGCAGCACAAGGGGCAUAUUCCCCUGAAUAGAGGCGCAGCAUCUUUCUCUAAGUCAGGGCAGGGGGUAAAAAGCUGAGCGAGUUCACGCAUGACAGCUCACGUUUCUUCCUGAAAUAGGAAGCAAGGACAAGUGCUGGGAGAAAAGGGGAGAGGGGAGUUGGGAGACUGAAGAAAAUCAAGAAGAUGCGACAGGAUUAUAGAGCAAUGCUGAGGGCCCAGCAGGUGCCGGACACCCUAAUUAUAAAGACACAUUUCUAACACUCAUCUCACCUGAAACUACCUGUUAAGUGUCUGCCCUGACAGGUUCUAAGCACCAAGAACACAGGACCUAGAAGCACUUGGCAUAAAAUCAAUGCUCAAAAACUUUUGCUGAAAUAUAUUAAACUGUAUGACAUUUUUCUUGGACGUUAUUUAGAAGCCCAGGAAAGAAGAGUUUCUCAGAAUUAGUUACUAUGCAGACCCUCUUUAAAUAGCAAACAGUUACUGUAGAUACCCUAGGGAUAACAAUUUUCAAUUCACUUAAGUAUAUGCAAGCCAACUUGCAGCUAGAUAUAAAAUGCCUCAUGCUCCAGGCUCUUGUACAUUAUGAACCAAAAUUCAUUUACACAAACACACACAAACAUAGGCACUGAAAUAACAUAUAUGUGUGUGUAUAUAUAUAUAUACACACACACACACACACACUCAGAAGGUGGUCAACCACAUAAUCCACAUACUGGUUGUUUAUUAUUAUAAUUAUUUGCACAAAAGCCCAAAAUUUUUAAAAAUUCUUGUAGAAACACUCAAAAAUCACUGAGACUACCUCCCAUGGGUCCUUAAACUCCAAUCUGAAACUGCUGAAUUAAUUCCAUUGUUUACAGAGCAAGUGCCCAGAGGAGGAAGGGGUCAAAGCAGUGGCAGUGCUGACAAACAUCAACGAAGAGAAGACGACAGAGUCAAAGGCCUAGAGAUCAGGGGCUGAUCAGGGGUGAGAGAAAGGGGCUAAAGAGCCGGGUGUAACAUUUCAGGGUCAGGCAGUGUUGGGUAAAAGGUCUAGGUGAGGAGACAGCUAUGGGAACUGGUUUAGCUGGGAUUUGUUCCCAAAGCGGAGCCUGAGAUAAAAGCAUGUGUGCUAGCAGCUCACUUGGAAGGUGACCUGGGAACCAGAGAGGUGCUGAAGAGAGCACGCCAAGAAGAGAAAAGGCCAGGGCGCUUUCGCUACCGCAGUCGGUGCCUGGGGGCUUGGUCUUACUGAGAAGUUCUGAGACGUGUAUACAGUUCACCCCCUGAAUCCAUAGGUUCCAUUGGUGGAUUCAACCAAUGACAGAUGGAAAAAAAAAUUUUUUUAAUUCCAGAAAGUUCCAAAAAGCAAAACUUGAAUGUGCCCUGCACAGGCAACUAUUUACAUAGUAUUUACAUUUUAUUAGGUAUUAUAAGUCAUCUAGAGGUGAUAUAAAGUGUACGUGAGGAAGUGCAUAGGUUACAUGCAAAUACUACACCAUCGUAUAAGAGAGACCUGAGCCUCUGCGGAUUUGGGUGGGGGUGGGGCAGACGGGACAUGUCCUGGAACCAGUCCCCCUAGAAUACCAGGGACAACUGUAGAAAGUGUGUCCAGAGGAGGAUCACCGUGAAGACACGUCUGUCAGUUUGAGUCCCCACAGGUAGAAGUCUGCCCCAAGGGCAUGAGCUGCCCUACACUUCCAAGAACAACAGUGCAGCAGCCCAGAAGGCUGCUGCCAGCUUCUUAUCCUAGGGACAGACAGGGCUUGUUGGAGAAGCCCCAGGGAUUGAAAAGACAGAAGCACUUGAGGCAAGAUGCAGUCAGCCGGAGUGAGUCACACAACUGCUCUGCGCAGCAGCGGCGGGACCCACAGGAGGCCAGGAGGAAGUGAGGAGGACAGAAGAGGUUUCUAGUUCAGAGCUCAAAGCCACGGGAGUUGAAAGAGCCAGAAAAGUGUUAGACCAGAAUGUGAGAAGUAUCACCUGCACUAACUCCUGAGAGCCUCAAUGAUGGCAAGAACUGGGGAGGGGAGUUAAGCUGGGCGAUUCACAUACAGACAUACACACAUAUUAAGACAAACACCAACAACCUCUGUUCAAAAGAUUUAGUAUUUAAGAUGUAUGUAGCUCUUACCCAUCUACUAUAGAUGUGUAGUAAGGCUGACCUGCCUUAUGAAUUGUCAUCUUCUAGAAGUCAAGUCUCCGUGUCCUCUGUACCUAGCACGGUAUCUUAAUAUUUAAUAAAUAAAGAAUCUAAAGAUAACUGCAGAUACUCUGAGGUAUCCAAAAAAAAAAAGCUUAACAAGGGCAAGAAGAGUGCUGUGCUGUGCCCACCACUGUUUGCUAAGGCGUAGCAGAGUUCAGGGUGUGGACUGUGGAGCCAGAUGCUCGGGCUGAAACCUCUGAUCAACCCCUAACUAGGUAGGUGAUACUGGAGUUAUUUAAUCUAUGCCUCGGUUUCUUCAUCUUUAAAAUGGGCAAGGUAGUUCCUACCUUACAGGGGUUACGUGAAGUUUAAAUGAGUUGUAAACAUAAAGCAUUUAAAACAGCAUCUGGCACAUGGUAAGCACUACCUAGACGGUACUUGUUAUCAUUAUUACUACACAUUACAGCUGGAGCUCAACAACUUGAUUCAAUAAAGAAGUAACUAUGUUUUUAAAAGGAACGAAAUUGGGUCAUUUGUAGAGACAUGGAUGGACCUAGAGACUGUCAUACCGAGUGAAGUAAGUCAGAAAGAGAAAAACAAGUAUUGUAUAUUAAUGCACAUAUGUGGAAUCUAGAAAAAUGGUACAGAUGAACCUGUCUGCAGGGCAGAAAUAGACACAAAGACGUAGAGAACAAACAUAUGGACACCAAGGGGGGAAAGGGUGGGUGGGAUGGAUUGGGAGAUCGGGAUUGACAUACAUACCCUAACUAAUAUGUAUAAAAUAGAUAACUAACAAGAACCUGCUGUACGGCACAGGGAACUCCACUUCGCUGUACAGCAGAAACUAACACAACACUGUAAAACAACUAUACCCCAAUUAAAAAAAAAUUUUUUUUAAA